rnacentral:rRNA from 1 species
GACGAACGCUGGCGGCGUGCUUAACACAUGCAAGUCGAACGGAAAGGCCCUGCUUUUGUGGGGUGCUCGAGUGGCGAACGGGUGAGUAACACGUGAGUAACCUGCCCUUGACUUUGGGAUAACUUCAGGAAACUGGGGCUAAUACCGGAUAGGAGCUCCUGCUGCAUGGUGGGGGUUGGAAAGUUUCGGCGGUUGGGGAUGGACUCGCGGCUUAUCAGCUUGUUGGUGGGGUAGUGGCUUACCAAGGCUUUGACGGGUAGCCGGCCUGAGAGGGUGACCGGCCACAUUGGGACUGAGAUACGGCCCAGACUCCUACGGGAGGCAGCAGUGGGGAAUAUUGCACAAUGGGCGGAAGCCUGAUGCAGCAACGCCGCGUGCGGGAUGACGGCCUUCGGGUUGUAAACCGCUUUCGCCUGUGACGAAGCGUGAGUGACGGUAAUGGGUAAAGAAGCACCGGCUAACUACGUGCCAGCAGCCGCGGUGAUACGUAGGGUGCGAGCGUUGUCCGGAUUUAUUGGGCGUAAAGGGCUCGUAGGUGGUUGAUCGCGUCGGAAGUGUAAUCUUGGGGCUUAACCCUGAGCGGGCUUUCGAUACGGGUUGACUUGAGGAAGGUAGGGGAGAAUGGAAUUCCUGGUGGAGCGGUGGAAUGCGCAGAUAUCAGGAGGAACACCAGUGGCGAAGGCGGUUCUCUGGGCCUUUCCUGACGCUGAGGAGCGAAAGCGUGGGGAGCGAACAGGCUUAGAUACCCUGGUAGUCCACGCUGUAAACGGUGGGUACUAGGUGUGGGGUCCAUUCCACGGGUUCCGUGCCGUAGCUAACGCUUUAAGUACCCCGCCUGGGGAGUACGGCCGCAAGGCUAAAACUCAAAGGAAUUGACGGGGCCCCGCACAAGCGGCGGAGCAUGCGGAUUAAUUCGAUGCAACGCGUAGAACCUUACCUGGGUUUGACAUGGAUCGGGAGUGCUCAGAGAUGGGUGUGCCUCUUUUGGGGUCGGUUCACAGGUGGUGCAUGGCUGUCGUCAGCUCGUGUCGUGAGAUGUUGGGUUAAGUCCCGCAACGAGCGCAACCCUUGUUCACUGUUGCCAGCACGUUAUGGUGGGGACUCAGUGGAGACCGCCGGGGUCAACUCGGAGGAAGGUGGGGAUGACGUCAAGUCAUCAUGCCCCUUAUGUCCAGGGCUUCACGCAUGCUACAAUGGCUGGUACAGAGAGUGGCGAGCCUGUGAGGGUGAGCGAAUCUCGGAAAGCCGGUCUCAGUUCGGAUUGGGGUCUGCAACUCGACCUCAUGAAGUCGGAGUCGCUAGUAAUCGCAGAUCAGCAACGCUGCGGUGAAUACGUUCCCGGG